CGUCGGCGCCCUCGCGACGAUAGCUCGCAAACCCCGCCAGGGCCGGAAGGCAGCAACGGUAGCGAGUGACUCGGGCGCCGGGGUGUCGCUGGCGGGG
rnacentral:SRP_RNA from 1 species